rnacentral:rRNA from 1 species
AAUCCAUAGGUUAAUGAGGCGAACCGGGGGAACUGAAACAUCUAAGUACCCCGAGGAAAAGAAAUCAACCGAGAUUCCCCCAGUAGCGGCGAGCGAACGGGGAGGAGCCCAGAGCCUGAAUCAGCAUGUGUGUUAGUGGAAGCGUCUGGAAAGGCGCGCGAUACAGGGUGACAGCCCCGUACACAAAAGCGCAUGUGCUGUGAGCUCGAUGAGUAGGGCGGGACACGUGGUAUCCUGUCUGAAUAUGGGGGGACCAUCCUCCAAGGCUAAAUACUCCUGACUGACCGAUAGUGAACCAGUACCGUGAGGGAAAGGCGAAAAGAACCCCGGCGAGGGGAGUGAAAAAGAACCUGAAACCGUGUACGUACAAGCAGUGGGAGCCCCACCACCAAAGCAUUUGCUGUACCGCGUUGACGGAGCGAAGCGACGUCAAACCGAUAAAACAGCAGUGUAAAGUGAGCCGCAGGGCGCUUUGCGCGACAGCGCAAAGGCAGGCGGUUUCGCGUAGCGAAAGCGAAUGCUUUGGGGUGGGGUGACUGCGUACCUUUUGUAUAAUGGGUCAGCGACUUAUAUUCUGUAGCAAGGUUAACCGUAUAGGGGAGCCGUAGGGAAACCGAGUCUUAACCGGGCGUUAAGUUGCAGGGUAUAGACCCGAAACCCGGUGAUCUAGCCAUGGGCAGGUUGAAGGUUGGGUAACACUAACUGGAGGACCGAACCGACUAAUGUUGAAAAAUUAGCGGAUGACCUGUGGCUGGGGGUGAAAGGCCAAUCAAACCGGGAGAUAGCUGGUUCUCCCCGAAAGCUAUUUAGGUAGCGCCUCGUGAAUUCAUCUCCGGGGGUAGAGCACUGUUUCGGCUAGGGGGCCAUCCCGGCUUACCAACCCGAUGCAAACUGCGAAUACCGGAGAAUGUUAUCACGGGAGACACACGGCGGGUGCUAACGUCCGUCGUGAAGAGGGAAACAACCCAGACCGCCAGCUAAGGUCCCAAAGUCAUGGUUAAGUGGGAAACGAUGUGGGAAGGCCCAGACAGCCAGGAUGUUGGCUUAGAAGCAGCCAUCAUUUAAAGAAAGCGUAAUAGCUCACUGGUCGAGUCGGCCUGCGCGGAAGAUGUAACGGGGCUAAACCAU